UGAGUACGAGACGCUAAGGCGUCGAAGUAGUGUAUGUCAUACUUCCAAGAAAAGCUUGCACUAUCAUAGAUAAAAAACGCCUGUACCAUAACCGACACAGGUGGGUAGGUAGAGUAUACUAAGGGGCGCGAGAUAACUCUCUCUAAGGAACUCGGCAAAAUAACUCCGUAACUUCGGGAGAAGGAGUGCCUUAUUAUUAAGGUUGCAAUAACAAGAUCCAAGCAACUGUUUAUCAAAAACACAGGUCUCCGCUAAGUCGUAAGACGAUGUAUGGGGGCUGACGCCUGCCCAGUGCCAGAAGGUUAAAGAAGUUGGUUAGCAAUUGCGAAGCUGAUAACUGAAGCCCUGGUGAACGGCGGCCGUAACUAUAACGGUCCUAAGGUAGGGAAAUUCCUUGUCGGGUAAGUUCCGACCCGCACGAAAGGCGUAAUGAUUUGGAUACUGUCUCGGAGAGGGGCUCGGUGAAAUAGACUUGUCUGUGAAGAUGCGGACUACCUGCACCAGGACAGAAAGACCCUAUGAAGCUUUACUGUAACUUGAAAUUGGAAUUGGACUUUAUUCGCGCAGUAUAGGUGGGAGGCGUUGAUUAUAAUCUUGCGGGAUUAUUGGAGCCAUCAGUGAGAUACCACUCUUGUAAUGUUAGAUUUCUAACUUUGAAUCAUUAUCUGGUCAAAGAACAGUUUCAGGCGGGCAGUUUGACUGGGGCGGUCGCCUCCUAAACGGUAACGGAGGCGUACAAAGGUUUCCUCUGAACGGUUAGAAAUCGUAUCUAGAGUGUAAAGGCAUAAGGAAGCUUGACUGUGAGACCUACAAGUCGAGCAGGGACGAAAGUCGGUCUUAGUGAUCUGACGGUACUGAGUGGAAAGGCCGUCACUCAACGGAUAAAAGUUACUCUAGGGAUAACAGGCUGAUCUCCCCCAAGAGUUCACAUCGACGGGGAGGUUUGGCACCUCGAUGUCGGCUCAUCGCAUCCUGGGGCGGUAGUACGUCCCAAGGGUUGGGCUGUUCGCCCAUGAAAGCGGUACGCGAGCUGGGUUCAGAGCGUCGUGAGACAGUUCGGUCCAUAUCCGGUGUAGGCGUUAGAAUAUUGAGAGGAGCCUUCUUUAGUACGAGAGGACCGAGAAGGACAUACCUCUGGUGUACCAGUUAUCGUGCCAACGGUAAACGCUGGGUAGCUAUGUAUGGAGUGGAUAACCGCUGAAAGCAUCUAAGUGGGAAGCCCACCUCAAGAUAAGUAUUCU
rnacentral:rRNA from 1 species